ACUUUGCAGCCCGACUUGAGUGGAAAUCCUUUUUUUGCAUUUAUAAAAAAAAGAUUGGGAACGGAAGGCGGAAAUGUCU
rnacentral:sRNA from 1 species